rnacentral:rRNA from 1 species
AACGAACGCUGGCGGCAUGCCUAACACAUGCAAGUCGAACGAAGGCUUCGGCCUUAGUGGCGCACGGGUGCGUAACGCGUGGGAAUCUGCCCUUGGGUUCGGAAUAACUCAGAGAAAUUUGAGCUAAUACCGAAUGAUGUCGAAAGACCAAAGAUUUAUCGCCCAAGGAUGAGCCCGCGUAGGAUUAGCUUGUUGGUGAGGUAAAAGCUCACCAAGGCGACGAUCCUUAGCUGGUCUGAGAGGAUGAUCAGCCACACUGGGACUGAGACACGGCCCAGACUCCUACGGGAGGCAGCAGUGGGGAAUAUUGGACAAUGGGCGAAAGCCUGAUCCAGCAAUGCCGCGUGAGUGAUGAAGGCCUUAGGGUUGUAAAGCUCUUUUACCAGGGAUGAUAAUGACAGUACCUGGAGAAUAAGCUCCAGCUAACUCCGUGCCAGCAGCCGCGGUAAAGUACAGUGU